rnacentral:miRNA from 1 species
UUAGGUUGGUGCAAAAGUAAUUGUGGUUUUUGCCAUUGAACCACAUUACUUUUGUACCAACCUAA